CCUACGGGCGGCAGCAGUGAGGAAUAUUGGUCAAUGGACGAGAGUCUGAACCAGCCAAGUAGCGUGAAGGAUGACUGCCCUAUGGGUUGUAAACUUCUUUUAUAUGGGAAUAAAAUGUUCCACGUGUGGGAUUUUGUAUGUACCAUAUGAAUAAGGAUCGGCUAACUCCGUGCCAGCAGCCGCGGUAAUACGGAGGAUCCGAGCGUUAUCCGGAUUUAUUGGGUUUAAAGGGAGCGUAGGUGGAUUGGUAAGUCAGUUGUGAAAGUUUGCGGCUCAACCGUAAAAUUGCAGUUGAAACUGGCAGUCUUGAGUACAGUAGAGGUGGGCGGAAUUCGUGGUGUAGCGGUGAAAUGCUUAGAUAUCACGAAGAACUCCGAUUGCGAAGGCAGUUCACUGGACUGCAACUGACACUGAGGCUCGAAAGUGUGGGUAUCAAACAGGAUUAGAUACACUAGUAGUC
rnacentral:rRNA from 1 species